UUCGCAUAUGGCUGAAAAUAUUUUGCACAGAGUAGGCCUAGAAAAUUCCUUUAUGACGAUGACAGACCUUUAUGAAUUGACAGACACUAUUUAAAACGAAACUUUGAUAAAAAUUGAAGAUAAGUGCUUAGCUAUUGCAAAUAAAGAGCUAAGUCAAUUUUGUAUGCCCGCAGCCACCCAAACUGCGGCUGCUUCAUUUGAUGUGGAUUUGCGCCGUGAGCAGACUUACAACACCGACUGGGCAUCUUCUUCUUAGAUGCUCCAGGAGGAACCCGGAGGAGAAACAUUCCUCAUCAGAAUGAUUCUGGCUGUUCGAGUAAAAAAGGACAUAGCUUUAGCUCUUGCUUCAUCCGGAAUAGCUGCGACAUUGUUACCUGGUGGAAGGACUGCUCAUUCAGCGAUGAAGUUGCCAUUGAACAUGCAAAUCAUCGAGACUCCCACGGGUAACAUUUCCAGAGCAUCAGGUAUGGGAAAAGAACUGCGAGCAUGUAAACUCAUUGUUUGGGAUGAAUGUUCCAUGGCACACAAAUAUGCGCUGGAUGCUCUUGAUCGAUCAUUGCAGGAUUUGCCUGGAACCGCUCAACCAAUCAGGAAUGCGUUGAUAUUGUUCGCAGGAGAUUUCCGGCAAACAUUACCUGUAAUUUCUCGAUCGACAACAGCGGACGAGAUAAAUGCUUUCCUGAAAUAUUCAACAUUAUGGCGACACCUACUUACACUGCAGUUAAUGACGAGUAUGCGUGUCCAGUUGCAGAACGAUGAAUCAACCGAGGUAUUCUCAUGACAGUUACUGAACGUUGGGAACGGAAAGCUGCCAGUUAAUGAGACGUCAAGAAAAAUAUCACUACCAGAAAAUUUCUUUAAUUUAGUAACAUUGAAAGACGAACUAAUCGAAAAAGUAUUUCCUAAAAUUCAAAUCAAUUAUAGGAAUCACGAUUGGAGAACGACCAACAGUGGGAUAUCAUAAUUUAUAAUGUUGCAACACUGCACAUCUAAACGAAAUUCGCGCUUUGUUUGCAAUUAUAUUGACCGCUUGCUUCCCUUCAUCUCCAACAGAGUUAUGGGAGAGAUAUCAUUCGCGCAUGUUAUCCAAUCCAGCAUAAAAACUGAAGAAAUUACAUAUAAGUCAAUAGACACCGUUGUGGAGUCAGAUGAAGCAGCUAAUUACCCAACGGAAUUUUUGAAUUUACUUUAUCUGCCUGGGAUGCCACCACACAUAUUGAAAUUAAAAAUGGGUAUCCCAAUUAUUAUGCUCCGGAAUGCUAGUGGAAGCAACGAUCUUAACAUGAUCUUUCAAAGGUAAAGAUGUCUUCCUUUUUAGGAUUCCCCUGAUGCCGUUUGAUGCACCGUUCCAAUUUAAAAAAUUGCAGUUUCGAAUUUUUUGCAGAUUGGCAUUCGCCAUGACCAUUAAUAAAUCUCAAGGUCAAUCACUGGAAUUGUGUGGCUUAGAUUUAGAUGCGGAUUGCUUUUCACACGGAUUUUUGUACGUUGCGUGUUCCCGUGUAGGCAAACCAGAUAGCCUUCAUAUUUACGCGGAGAAUGGAGAAACGAAAAAUAUUGCUUACCCACAAGUAUUACGAAAUUAAACGUAUUCCAAACUUA